rnacentral:rRNA from 1 species
CCUACGGGAGGCUGCAGUGGGGAAUAUUGGACAAUGGGCGAAAGCCUGAUCCAGCCAUGCCGCGUGUGUGAAGAAGGCCUUCGGGUUGUAAAGCACUUUCAGUGGGGAAGAAAGCCUUGGGGCUAAUACCCUCGAGGAAGGACAUCACCCACAGAAGAAGCACCGGCUAACUCCGUGCCAGCAGCCGCGGUAAUACGGAGGGUGCGAUCGUUAAUCGGAAUUACUGGGCGUAAAGCGCGCGUAGGCGGUCUGAUAAGCCGGUUGUGAAAGCCCCGGGCUCAACCUGGGAACGGCAUCCGGAACUGUCAGGCUAGAGUGCAGGAGAGGAAGGUAGAAUUCCCGGUGUAGCGGUGAAAUGCGUAGAGAUCGGGAGGAAUACCAGUGGCGAAGGCGGCCUUCUGGACUGACACUGACGCUGAGGUGCGAAAGCGUGGGUAGCAAACAGGAUUAGAUACCCGGGUAGUC